GUGGGGAAUUUUGGACAAUGGGCGCAAGCCUGAUCCAGCCAUGCCGCGUGUGUGAAGAAGGUCUUCGGAUUGUAAAGCACUUUAAGUUGGGAGGAAGGGCAGUAAGUUAAUACCUUGCUGUUUUGACGUUACCGACAGAAUAAGCACCGGCUAACUUCGUGCCAGCAGCCGCGGUAAUACGAAGGGUGCAAGCGUUAAUCGGAAUUACUGGGCGUAAAGCGCGCGUAGGUGGUUUUGUAAGUUGGAGGUGAAAUCCCCGGGCUCAACCUGGGAACUGCCUCCAAAACUGCAUGACUAGAGUACGGUAGAGGGUAGUGGAAUUUCCUGUGUAGCGGUGAAAUGCGUAGAUAUAGGAAGGAACACCAGUGGCGAAGGCGACUACCUGGACUGAUACUGACACUGAGGUGCGAAAGCGUGGGGAGCAAACAGGAUUAGAUACCCGUGUAGUCC
rnacentral:rRNA from 1 species